GACGGACGCUGGCGGCGUGCUUAACACAUGCAAGUCGAACGGAAAGGCCCUGCUUUUGUGGGGUGCUCGAGUGGCGAACGGGUGAGUAACACGUGAGUAACCUGCCCUUGACUUUGGGAUAACUUCAGGAAACUGGGGCUAAUACCGGACAGGAGCUCCUGCUGCAUGGGGGGGGUUGGAAAGUUUCGGCGGUUGGGGAUGGACUCGCGGCUUAUCAGCUUGUUGGUGGGGUAGUGGCUUACCAAGGCUUUGACGGGUAGCCGGCCUGAGAGGGUGACCGGCCACAUUGGGACUGAGGUACGGCCCAGACUCCUACGGGAGGCAGCGGUGGGAAAUAUUGCACAAUGGGCGGAAGCCUGAUGCAACAACGCCGCGUGCGGGAUGACGGCCUUCGGGUUGUAAACCGCUUUCGCCUGUGACGAAGCGUGAGUGACGGUAAUGGGUAAAGAAGCACCGGCUAACUACGUG
rnacentral:rRNA from 1 species